CCCUUCAUCUAAGUCAUUAAUAAAGAUGUUGAACAGGACCGGGCCCAGGACGGAACCCUGCGGCACUCCACUCGUCACUUCUUUCCAGGAUGAAGAGGAAGCAUUGGUCAUUAAUAAAUAUGUUGAAAAGGACUGGUCCCAGGAUGGAACCCUAUGGCACUCUGCUCAUCACUUCUUUCCAGGAUGAAGAGGAAGAAUUGGCAUGAAUCACAUACAAAGUAUCUGCGGAGUAUUCCAGGAAGAAGAGUGACACAAAAGAAUACCUUGCUGUUGUUGCUGUUCCUCUCUGAAUUGAGCUGGAUGGUGCAAACACACCUUAAGACAAAUAUCUUGUUUCUCAUGUCUAGAUGUUUUGGAAAGAAUGCAAUAAAGACUGCCAGUACUAUUUAGUAAACUAGAAAGGCUGCUAAUAAAAUUUUUGACAUGAUGAUUAAUUUGACUCCAUCCAGGAAGCAUUAUAAAAGAUGCCAUUUUAAUGCUACUGUGCAAUGUGUGAUCACGGUGAUAUUCAAAGGCUUCUUUGUUUUUCUUUUAUGUUCGUAGAAAUUGAAACAUGUCCCAACUUUGGUACUCCUGUAGACUUUUGCUAAUAAUAACUGUAGACAAUAUUACUGAUACUCGUUUUCCCAUAUGCUAGGAGGGAAGCAUAUUGCCUGGAAACUCAGAUUUCCUUGUCAACUGAGGCACAAGACUCCUGUGGUAGUAGACAAUAAUGUAUGUAAUUGCUUCAGGCUCCUUCUACACUGGGGCUGGAUUAGCACAGCAGGCUAAAACACUGUGCUGCAGAAAAAUCCUGCCCAUCAAAAGAACGGCAGUUUGGGCCUGUGUCGGGGUAAGCACCCGCCAUUAUCCCCAGCUCACCUGCCCAUCUAGCAGGUCGAAAGCAGAAAUGUCAAUAGAUAAAAAUUACCACUUUUAGUGAUGAGAUAAUAAAGGUGCCCUUAAGGACAUUGAUCGGAGGAAAGCUCUUCAACAUCGAAGAUGGAGCGACAGCACCCUGAGUGGCCGGAGUUGAGCACAGCCUCCAAGAUGCCAGAAAUAAAAUGAGAGAAACUG